rnacentral:lncRNA from 1 species
GUGUUUACGAUAAUUUAAGGUGGUAUGGGAGUCUAAAAUAAAAAUGAUAGAAUUUGUUCAUACUUUGCCAAAACGUAGUAUCUAUUGAUAUAUGUUGAAAAAUAUAAUAAAAAUGAUAGGUCACCGCGCAUUUUCUCAAGCUACAGGACGUGACAAAAUGACACAUUUUGUAUGGAUUAUACAGGAAAAAAUACCAUUUUGUGAUUAGAAACUAAACAAAGUGAUAGAAUUGUUAAAUACUUAAGGAAAAGAUAGCUUUCAGACAAUGCUUUGAGAAAAUCAAAAGAAAAGAUAGGGUCACCGUACGUUUAUUCUGGCUAAAAUACAAAAUAGGAAAAUUCCAUGUAGAAUCCUUCAGAAAAUGCACUGUUUUAGAGUUACCUCCCCUUAAAAUGCCAAUUUAAUUUUUUUUUAAAAACAAC